CAUGCAAGUCGAGCGAUAUCCACCUUCGGGUUGGUGAAAGCGGCGAACGGGUGAGUAACACGUGAACAGCCUGCCCUUGACACUGGAAUAACAGUUGGAAACAGCUGCUAAUACCGGGUACGACCUCCUACGGCAUCGCAGGAGGUGGAAAGCCCUGGCGGUCAAGGAUGGGCUCGCGGCCUAUCAGCUAGUUGGUGAGGUAACGGCUCACCAAGGCUUCGACGGGUAGCCGGCCUGAGAGGGCGACCGGCCACACUGGGACUGAGAUACGGCCCAGACUCCUACGGGAGGCAGCAGUGGGGUAUAUUGCACAAUGGGCGAAAGCCUGAUGCAGCAACGCCGCGUGCGGGAUGACGGCCUUCGGGUUGUAAACCGCUUUCAGUAGGGACGAAGCGCAAGCGACGGUACCUACAGAAGAAGCACCGGCCAACUACGUGCCAGCAGCCGCGGUGAUACGUAGGGUGCGAGCGUUGUCCGGAAUUAUUGGGCGUAAAGGGCUUGUAGGCGGUUCGUCACGUCGAAAGUGAAAACUCAGGGCUUAACCCUGAGCCUGCUUCCGAUACGGGCGAACUAGAGGUAUGCAGGGGAGAACGGAAUUCCUGGUGGAGCGGUGGAAUGCGCAGAUAUCAGGAGGAACACCAGUGGCGAAGGCGGUUCUCUGGGCAUUACCUGACGCUGAGAAGCGAAAGCGUGGGGAGCAAACAGGCUUAGAUACCCUGGUAGUCCACGCCCUAAACGAUGCACACUUGGUGUGAGCCAUUCAGUUGGUUUGUGCCGGAGCUAACGCGUU
rnacentral:rRNA from 1 species